GGCAUCUUUUUAUUUUUAAGACCUUUUUCGAGAAGGUAUGCUUAAAGAUGAGCUUGCGCCACAUUAGUUUGUUGGUGGGGUAAUGGCCUACCAAGACGAUGAUGUGUAGCUGGACUGAGAGGUCGAACAGCCACAUUGGGACUGAGACACGGCCCAAACUCCUACGGGAGGCAGCAGUAGGGAAUUUUCGGCAAUGGAGGAAACUCUGACCGAGCAACGCCGCGUGAACGAUGAAGUAUUUCGGUAUGUAAAGUUCUUUUAUUGAAGAAGAAAAAAUAGUGGAAAAUCUAUCUUGACGUUAUUCAAUGAAUAACGCCCGGCUAACUAUGUGCCAGCAGCCGCGGUAAGACAUAGGGGGCGAGCGUUAUCCGGAAUUAUUGGCUGGGGUGCGUAGGCGGUUAGGAAAGUCUAUAAUUUAAUUUCAGUGCUUAACGCUGUCUUGUUAUAGAAACUACCUUGACUAGAGUUAGAUAGAGGCAAGCGGAAUUCCAUGUGUAGCGGUAAAAUGUGUAAAUAUAUGGAGGAACACCAGAAGCGUAGGCGGCUUGCUGGGUCUUGACUGACGCUGAGGCACGAAAGCGUGGGUAGCAAACAGGAUUAGAUACCCUGGUAGUCCACGCCGUAAACGAUGAGUACUAAGUGUCGGGAUAAAACUCGGUACUGAAGUUAACACAUUAAGUACUCCGCCUGAGUAGUACGUACGCAAGUAUGAAACUUAAAGGAAUUGACGGGACUCCGCACAAGCGGUGGAUCAUGUUGUUUAAUUCGAAGAUACACGAAAAAUCUUACCAGGUCUUGACAUGCUCUGCAAAGUUAUAGAAA
rnacentral:rRNA from 1 species